rnacentral:lncRNA from 1 species
GGCUCAGAGAGGCUGAAUGUCCUGCCCAAGGUUUUGCCCCUGCUUGCCCCGAUUCCAGGCUGCUUUGUCCUGGCUCAGUGGGGCUCUACUUUUCCUUCCUCCUGCCCUGAAGCCUGUGGCUCUGGCUUGUCCACCCGGAGCUGGGGGCCCUGCAGAAGCCCCCUCUCUCCCCUCAGCUUCUCUGCCCCCCUCCUCAGCCCCCCUAAGCUGCCUCUUGCCUUCCCAGCCUGAGUUGGCUGGGGAGCUUGUAAAACAGCCCCACCAGCAGGCUUAUCCUGAGCGGUGCUGAUGCGGGAGUUGGAGCAGGGCUGCGAAUCUUCUUUGGGACUCUGAUGAUCUGUCUGGUUGGAGAGUCACUGCAAGCCAAGAUGUGGCAUUGGCCAAUGGUGUUUCCCAGCUGCCUCAGGUAUGCCAUGAUCUCAUGCCUCAUGCUUGACAUGGGCAGGAUGAAGGAGGGAGGAAGGAGGCAGGGUGCAGGGAGGAAUCCUCUGCCUGGAGGAUGCCCACCGGGCUUCUCUGUGCUCGCCAGGCUUAUUGGUCCUGGAUCUUGGCCACCUUGGGGCAGGUGUGCAUCACUGGUGCAGAGGAAAUGCCUCCUCCUCCUCUGUCAACUCAGAUCCUCUGAGGCCCUGCUGGUGCCUCUCUCUGCUAGGACCCUUUCAGGGAUCAAGGCCAGGAGGGCAGCCCCCUGAGGGCAGCCCCCGCUGAGGCUCAGCGGGGUAAUGCCUACCCCAGCUGCCUCCUGUGAUGUGGGCGUGGCAGGCAAGCCCAGCACCCCAGGCUUUCUAGCCAGGUUCUGUAUUUUCCAGCAUUAGUUUUCCCUCCAGGGUCAAAUGAUAAGUUCUUAUAAGGUCUGAGGCUGUGUCAUCAUCUCCCUCUUCACCCCCAGCCCCCGAGAGCUGUGCACACAGCAGGUGCGUGAUCUGUGGUGUUGGCUGAGCAGUUUGGUGCGUUGGUCAGCAACUUCCUGCAGCUUCUCAGCCCAUGCAUAUCCUCAGUUCUGCAGUGCUGGGCUUGUGUAUAAUCCCGCCCAGACAUCUCCUGGAAUGGGGAACUUGGCGGGGGGCAGUGAGCCAAUGAGAAAGGGGUGUGUGUGCACGCACACACGAUGGGGGCAGAGAGUGAAGAGUUCUCAGAGACUCCACUUCGAGAGUUGGUGUGAAUCCUGGCUUGGGAGUUAGAGCUGGCUCGAGUCUCUGCUCUCUCACUUUUGUGCUGCUUAACCUGGAUAAGGCUUUUGCCCUCUCCGGUUGGGGUAUUGAUAGCCUUUGGUGACCUUGAAGACCAUUUUCAGUUCUGAGGGUGAUGGGUCUGUGGUUGGACCGGAACUCCAGGCCCACCCUGACACCUGAACACUGAGGUUUUUGUCCAAGAUUCCGGGGUCCCCUUUGCCCCUCUUUGGGGUGGCGGUGGCGGUGGGGAAAAAAAGAGAGAUCAGACUAUUACUGUGUCUAUGUAGAAAGAAGUAGACGUAAGAGACUCCAUUUUGUUCUGUACUAAGAAAAAUUCUUCUGCCUUAAAAAAAAAA